GCGUCGGUGGUGCAACAGUUAGCACAUACUUCCGGAAAGAGUAGGAUCUGGGUUCAGAUCUCGGCUGACGCA